AUUGAACGCUGGCGGCAGGCUUAACACAUGCAAGUCGAGCGGAGAUGAGGUGCUUGCACCUUAUCUUAGCGGCGGACGGGUGAGUAAUGCUUAGGAAUCUGCCUAUUAGUGGGGGACAACAUUCCGAAAGGAAUGCUAAUACCGCAUACGCCCUACGGGGGAAAGCAGGGGAUCUUCGGACCUUGCGCUAAUAGAUGAGCCUAAGUCGGAGUAGCUAGUUGGUGGGGUAAAGGCCUCCCAAGGCGACGAUCUGUAGCGGGUCUGAGAGGAUGAGCCGCCACACUGGGACUGAGACACGGCCCAGACUCCUACGGGAGGCAGCAGUGGGGAAUAUUGGACAAUGGGCGGAAGCCUGAUCCAGCCAUGCCGCGUGUGUGAAGAAGGCCUUUUGGUUGUAAAGCACUUUAAGCGAGGAGGAGGCUACCUGGAUUAAUACUCUAGGAUAGUGGACGUUACUCGCAGAAUAAGCACCGGCUAACUCUGUGCCAGCCGCCGCAGUAACAC
rnacentral:rRNA from 1 species